GACGAACGCUGGCGGCGUGCCUAAUACAUGCAAGUCGAGCGGACGGAUGGGAGCUUGCUCCCAGACCGUCAGCGGCGGACGGGUGAGUAACACGUGGGCAACCUGCCUGUAAGACUGGGAUAACUCCGGGAAACCGGGGCUAAUACCGGAUAACUCUUUCCCUCACAUGAGGGAAAGCUGAAAGAUGGCAUCUCGCUAUCACUUACAGAUGGGCCCGCGGCGCAUUAGCUAGUUGGUGAGGUAACGGCUCACCAAGGCGACGAUGCGUAGCCGACCUGAGAGGGUGAUCGGCCACACUGGGACUGAGACACAGCACAGACUCCUACGGGAGGCAGCAGUAGGGAAUCUUCCGCAAUGGACGAAAGUCUGACGGAGCAACGCCGCGUGAGUGAUGAAGGUUUUCGGAUCGUAAAACUCUGUUGUCAGGGAAGAACAAGUACCGGAGUAACUGCCGGUACCUUGACGGUACCUGACCAGAAAGCCACGGCUAACUACGUG
rnacentral:rRNA from 1 species